rnacentral:tmRNA from 1 species
GGGGCUGUUUGGUUUCGACAGAAAUAAUAAGGCUUAGAUGGCAAGUCGUAGGUAUGCGUUAAAUCCAUCAGUUUAAUAACUGGAAAUAAUAAAUUAGCAUUCGCUGCUUAAUAAAAUAAUGGCGAGCUUUUUCUGUUUUCUUUCUCACAGAAAAUAUUAAGAGCGCAUUAAAGUGAGAUAUAUUAUUUUCUUUGUUUAGGAGAAAUAAUGAAAAUAACUAAACUAGUUAAUGAUUGGUUGUUAAUUGCUAUAAUUAUUAAUGAAUUUAAACAAUUAACUAAGCUUGUAGAAGUCUUCGAUUUUAUGUUUUUGGACAGGGGUUCAAUUCCCCUCAGCUCCACCA